CAAUAGCGUAUAUUAAAGUUGUUGCAGUUAAAAAGCUCGUAGUUGGAUUUCUGGUGGGAGCGAUCGGUCUGGCGCUUAGCGCGAGUACUUGCAUCGUCUCCGGCCAUCCUUGGGGAGAGUCUGUCUGGCAUUAAGUUGUCGGGCAGAGGAUCCUCUUCGUUUACUGUGAAAAAAUUAGAGUGUUCAAAGCAGGCUUAUGCCGUUGAAUAUAUUAGCAUGGAAUAAUAAGAUAGGACUUUGGUACUAUUUUGUUGGUUUGCGCACCAAAGUAAUGAUUAAUAGGGACAGUUGGGGGUAUUCGUAUUCCGUUGUCAGAGGUGAAAUUCUUGGAUUUACGGAAGACGAACUACUGCGAAAGCAUUUACCAAGGAUGUUUUCAUUAA
rnacentral:rRNA from 1 species